rnacentral:rRNA from 1 species
AAACCAACCGGGAUUGCCUUAGUAACGGCGAGUGAAGCGGCAAAAGCUCAAAUUUGAAAUCUGGUACCUUCGGUGCCCGAGUUGUAAUUUGGAGAGGGCAACUUUGGGGCCGUUCCUUGUCUAUGUUCCUUGGAACAGGACGUCAUAGAGGGUGAGAAUCCCGUGUGGCGAGGAGUGCGGUUCUUUGUAAAGUGCCUUCGAAGAGUCGAGUUGUUUGGGAAUGCAGCUCUAAGUGGGUGGUAAAUUCCAUCUAAAGCUAAAUAUUGGCGAGAGACCGAUAGCGAACAAGUACAGUGAUGGAAAGAUGAAAAGAACUUUGAAAAGAGAGUGAAAAAGUACGUGAAAUUGUUGAAAGGGAAGGGCAUUUGAUCAGACAUGGUGUUUUGUGCCCUCUGCUCCUUGUGGGUAGGGGAAUCUCGCAUUUCACUGGGCCAGCAUCAGUUUUGGUGGCAGGAUAAAUCCAUAGGUAUGUAGCUUGCCUCGGUAAGUAUUAUAGCCUGUGGGAAUACUGCC